UGCUCUGAUAGGUUAGUUUAAUACACUGCUCUGAUAGGGUAGUUUAAUACACUGCUCUGAUAGGGUAGUUUAAUACACUGCUCUGAUAGGGUAGUUUAAUACACUGCUCUGAUAGGGUAGUUUAAUACACUGCUCUGAUAGGGUAGUUUAAUACACUGCUCUGAUAGGGUAGUUUAAUACACUGCUCUGAUAGGGUAGUUUAAUACACUGCUCUGAUAGGGUAGUUUAAUACACUGCUCUGAUAGGGUAGUUUAAUACACUGCUCUGAUAGGGUAGUUUUAUACACUGCUCUGAUAGGGUAGUUUAAUACACUGCUCUGAUAGGGUAGUUUAAUACACUGCUCUGAUAGGGUAGUUUAAUACACUGCUCUGAUAGGGUAGUUUAAUACACUGCUCUGAUAGGGUAGUUUAAUACACUGCUCUGAUAGGGUAGUUUAAUACACUGCUCUGAUAGGGUAGUUUAAUACACUGCUCUGAUAGGGUAGUUUAAUACACUGCUCUGAUAGGGUAGUUUAAUACACUGCUCUGAUAGGGUAGUUUAAUACACUGCUCUGAUAGGGUAGUUUAAUACACUGCUCUGAUAGGGUAGUUUUAUACACUGCUCUGAUAGGGUAGUUUAAUACACUGCUCUGAUAGGGUAGUUUAAUACACUGCUCUGAUAGGGUAGUUUUAUACACUGCUCUGAUAGGGCAGUUUAAUACACUGCUCUGAUAGGGUAGUUUUAUACACUGCUCUGAUAGGGUAGUUUAAUACACUGCUCUGAUAGGGUAGUUUA